rnacentral:rRNA from 1 species
AGCGAACGCUGGCGGCAGGCUUAACACAUGCAAGUCGAGCGGGCACUUUCGGGUGUCAGCGGCGGACGGGUGAGUAACGCGUGGGAACGUGCCCUCUGGUUCGGAAUAACUCAGGGAAACUUGAGCUAAUACCGGAUACGCCCUUUUGGGGAAAGGCUUGCUGCCGGAGGAUCGGCCCGCGUCUGAUUAGCUAGUUGGUGAGGUAACGGCUCACCAAGGCGACGAUCAGUAGCUGGUCUGAGAGGAUGAUCAGCCACACUGGGACUGAGACACGGCCCAGACUCCUACGGGAGGCGGCAGUGGGGAAUAUUGGACAAUGAGCGCAAGCCUGAUCCAGCCAUGCCGCGUGAGUGAUGAAGGCCUUAGGGUUGUAAAGCUCUUUUAUCCGGGACGAUAAUGACGGUACCGGAGGAAUAAGCCCCGGCUAACUUCGUG